GAUGAAGAACGUAGUGAAAUGCGAUAAUUAAUGUGAAUUGCAGAAUUCAGUGAAUCAUCGAGUCUUUGAACGCACAUUGCGCCCCCUGGUAUUCCGGGGGGCAUGCCUGUCCGAGCGUCAUUGCUGCCCUCAAGCACGGCUUGUGUGUUGGGCUUCCGUCCCUGGCAACGGGGACGGGCCCAAAAGGCAGUGGCGGCACCAUGUCUGGUCCUCGAGCGUAUGGAGCUUUGUCACCCGCUCCCGUAGGUCCAGCUGGCAGCUAGCCUCGCAACCAAUCUUUUUAACCAGGUUGACCUCGGAUCAGGUAGGGAUACCCGCUGAACUUAAGCAUAUCAAUAAGCGGAGGA
rnacentral:misc_RNA from 1 species